CUCCUACGGGAGGCAGCAGUGGGGAAUCUUGCGCAAUGGACGAAAGUCUGACGCAGCGAUGCCGCGUGGGUGAUGAAGGCCUUCGGGUUGUAAAGCCCUGUGGGGAGAGACGAAUAAGCCGUGGCUAACAUCCACGGUGAUGACGGUAUCUCCUUAACAAGCACCGGCUAACUCUGUGCCAGCGCCGCGGUAA
rnacentral:rRNA from 1 species